GACGUAGGGCGCGAGCGUUGUCCGGAUUUAUUGGGCGUAAAGAGCUCGUAGGCGGCUUGUCGCGUCGACUGUGAAAACUCGGGGCUCAACUCCGAGCUUGCAGUCGAUACGGGCAGGCUAGAGUUCGGUAGGGGAGACUAGAAUUCCUGGUGUAGCGGUGAAAUGCGCAGAUAUCAGGAGGAACACCGGUGGCGAAGGCGGGUCUCUGGGCCGAUACUGACGCUGAGGAGCGAAAGCGUGGGGAGCGAACAGG
rnacentral:rRNA from 1 species